rnacentral:rRNA from 1 species
CCUACGGGUGGCUGCAGUGGGGAAUAUUGGACAAUGGGGGCAACCCUGAUCCAGCCAUGCCGCGUGUGUGAAGAAGGCCCUCGGGUUGUAAAGCACUUUCAGUGAGGAAGAACGCCUGGUGGUUAAUACCCAUCAGUAAAGACAUCACUCACAGAAGAAGCACCGGCUAACUCCGUGCCAGCAGCCGCGGUAAUACGGAGGGUGCGAGCGUUAAUCGGAAUUACUGGGCGUAAAGCGCGCGUAGGUGGCUUGAUAAGCCGGUUGUGAAAGCCCCGGGCUCAACCUGGGAACGGCAUCCGGAACUGUCAAGCUAGAGUGUAGGAGAGGAAGGUAGAAUUCCCGGUGUAGCGGUGAAAUGCGUAGAGAUCGGGAGGAAUACCAGUGGCGAAGGCGGCCUUCUGGACUGACACUGACACUGAGGUGCGAAAGCGUGGGUAGCAAACAGGAUUAGAUACCCUAGUAGUC